AACGAACGCUGGCGGCAGGCCUAACACAUGCAAGUCGAGCGCGCCCUUCGGGGUGAGCGGCGGACGGGUGAGUAACGCGUGGGAACGUGCCCUUUUCUACGGAAUAGCCUCGGGAAACUGAGAGUAAUACCGUAUACGCCCUUUGGGGGAAAGAUUUAUCGGAAAAGGAUCGGCCCGCGUUGGAUUAGGUAGUUGGUGGGGUAAUGGCCUACCAAGCCGACGAUCCAUAGCUGGUUUGAGAGGAUGAUCAGCCACACUGGGACUGAGACACGGCCCAGACUCCUACGGGAGGCAGCAGUGGGGAAUCUUAGACAAUGGGGGCAACCCUGAUCUAGCCAUGUCGCGUGAGUGAUGAAGGCCUUAGGGUUGUAAAGCUCUUUCAGCUGGGAAGAUAAUGACGGUACCAGCAGAAGAAGCCCCGGCUAACUCCGUG
rnacentral:rRNA from 1 species